UACGUAGGGGGGCAAGCGUUGUCCGGAUUUAUUGGGCGUAAAGAGCGUGUAGGCGGCUUUACAGGCCCGUUGUGAAAACUCGAGGCUCAACCUCGAGACGCCGGUGGAAACCGUAAAGCUAGAGUCCGGAAGAGGAGAGUGGAAUUCCUGGUGUAGCGGUGAAAUGCGCAGAUAUCAGGAGGAACACCCGUGGCGAAAGCGGCUCUCUGGGACGGUACUGACGCUGAGACGCGAAAGCGUGGGGAGCAAACAGG
rnacentral:rRNA from 1 species